UACGUAGGGCGCAAGCGUUAUCCGGAAUUAUUGGGCGUAAAGAGCUCGUAGGCGGUUUGUCGCGUCUGCCGUGAAAGUCCGGGGCUUAACUCCGGAUCUGCGGUGGGUACGGGCAGACUAGAGUGAUGUAGGGGAGACUGGAAUUCCUGGUGUAGCGGUGAAAUGCGCAGAUAUCAGGAGGAACACCGAUGGCGAAGGCAGGUCUCUGGGCUGUAACUGACGCUGAGGAGCGAAAGCAUGGGGAGCAAACAGG
rnacentral:rRNA from 1 species